rnacentral:rRNA from 1 species
GUUUAAUUCGAUGCAACGCGAAGAACCUUACCAAGGCUUGACAUGAACUGGAAAUACCUGGAAACAGGUGCCCCGCUUGCGGUCGGUUUACAGGUGGUGCAUGGUUGUCGUCAGCUCGUGUCGUGAGAUGUUGGGUUAAGUCCCGCAACGAGCGCAACCCUCGUUCUAUGUUGCCAGCACGUUAUGGUGGGGACUCAUAGGAGACUGCCGGGGUCAACUCGGAGGAAGGUGAGGACGACGUCAAAUCAUCAUGCCCCUUAUGUCUUGGGCUUCACGCAUGCUACAAUGGCCGGUACAAUGGGUUGCGAUACUGUGAGGUGGAGCUAAUCCCAAAAAGCCGGUCUCAGUUCGGAUUGGGGUCUGCAACUCGACCCCANGAAGUCGGAGUCG